rnacentral:rRNA from 1 species
CUACGGGUGGCUCCAGUGGGGAAUAUUGCACAAUGGGCGCAAGCCUGAUGCAGCCAUGCCGCGUGUAUGAAGAAGGCCUUCGGGUUGUAAAGUACUUUCAGCGGGGAGGAAGGGAGUAAAGUUAAUACCUUUGCUCAUUGACGUUACCCGCAGAAGAAGCACCGGCUAACUCCGUGCCAGCAGCCGCGGUAAUACGGAGGGUGCAAGCGUUAAUCGGAAUUACCGGGCGUAAAGCGCACGCAGGCGGUUUGUUAAGUCAGAUGUGAAAUCCCCGGGCUCAACCUGGGAACUGCAUCUGAUACUGGCAAGCUCGAGUCUCGUAGAGGGGGGUAGAAUUCCAGGUGUAGCGGUGAAAUGCGUAGAGAUCUGGAGGAAUACCGGUGGCGAAGGCGGCCCCCUGGACGAAGACUGACGCUCAGGUGCGAAAGCGUGGGGAGCAAACAGGAUUAGAUACCCCAGUAGUC